CCUUCAUCCCAGUGAUGGAAUGGCUGCAGCCAGACGUGCCAGGGAGCCCUGAGCCCGUGAUGUGACAGCCCAACCAGACUUUGAAACCACAUCUCUGGAGGUGUCACAGACAGCUCUGAGCAGACUGCAAGGUGCCCUUAAUGAGCUGGCAUUAUGGAACUGGGAUUGCUGGAUCACCCUAAAAAAAUUCAGAGUACUGAGGUCUCCACAUAGA